UGAACGCUGGCGGCGUGCCUCAUACAUGCACGUCGAGCGAACGGACGAGAAGCUUGCUUCUCUGAUGUUAGCGGCGGACGGGUGAGUAACACGUGGAUAACCUACCUAUAAGACUGGGAUAACUUCGGGAAACCGUAGCUAAUACCGGAUAAUAUUUUGAACCGCAUGGUUCAAAAGUGAAAGACGGUCUUGCUGUCACUUAUAGAUGGAUCCGCGCUGCAUUAGCUAGUUGGUAAGGUAACGGCUUACCAAGGCAACGAUGCAUAGCCGACCUGAGAGGGUGAUCGGCCACACUGGAACUGAGACACGGUCCAGACUCCUACGGGAGGCAGCAGUAGGGAAUCUUCCGCAAUGGGCGAAAGCCUGACGGAGCAACGCCGCGUGAGUGAUGAAGGUCUUCGGAUCGUAAAACUCUGUUAUUAGGGAAGAACAUAUGUGUAAGUAACUGUGCACAUCUUGACGGUACCUAAUCAGAAAGCCACGGCUAACUACGUG
rnacentral:rRNA from 1 species